rnacentral:lncRNA from 7 species
AUUCAGAGAUUUCUGUUCUGCUUAGAUUAAAUGGAACAUUACAUGAGCUGAGCAGGUUUCCCACCACAACGUUGCCACCCAUCUUUUGUGCUACUGAGCGUGGGGGAGGAUAUUGUCUGUCUUUUCUGAGGACUGCUUUGUUCCUUUCAGACUAAACAUAAGUUCAGGUGAACAGACUACAAGUGAAUUGAUUUAAUGUGAAGAAAGCUGCAGGGAAAACUUUUCCUUUGCUAAGCUACUGUCUUGGUUUCAGCUGGGAUGGAACUCUUUUCUUCAGAGUGUCUGAUUUUGUCUUUUAGAGUAAUGAUGACAACUGAAUCAUCGAACAGGCUCAAGGAAAGAAAGCCAUUUCAACAAUCAUAAUCUGGCCCAGACAGGAACCAAAGGACUUCCACCCUACUGCCUCACGUCUAUUCACUGCUCCCCGUCCCCAUUUCUUCCAUGAUACUGUUGCUGAAUUUGCAUGUUAAGUUUUCUCAUUUCUUCUAAGUGCUGUGUAUACAUUUGAGACAAUAACUACUGCCUAGAAGACUACAUAAUUUUGAGGUUCUAUAUCCAUUGGUGAAAAUAGAGCAAGUACAGACAGCCUGGAUCAGAUAAAAGGCCAUAACUUUCACUCACCUACUAUAAAACAUAUUACACACAUAUCAGCAAGUUCAUUAGUAAUCCUAUAUGAUCCUAUAUUUUGGAAAUGUUAACCUCUUGCAAAAUAUAUUAUAUAAUACAUAAGCCCACAGUAAUGACAGUUAGCAAUAGAAAAUGUUUUUAAAACAUGCUUCCAAGAUGACACUAUGUAAAGUUAAAAAAAGUAAAGAAAAACUUGGGCAGAAAACUAAAGGCUUAUUGAUUCAGUAUCUAGUGCUGUCAGCCCUUCCAAGCUCACAAUUCUCAGCAAAUAAGAGUUCAGUCCCACUGAAGAAUUCCUUCCAUAGGAUGCUAGACAGCAUGGGGAGCUAAAAGGUGGAAAUUCUCAACAAGGGUAACUCAUAAGAUCAGAUCCUGUAAAAGAGACAUAUCUGAUAUAUUCUAGAAACAGUCAAUUUCAAGACAGUUCCGUGAACGAAAUUCUCAACUU